CCGGCGACCUGAUGUGCAGGACCUAUUUUAGGUCAGUCGAAGGUGUGAAGACGUAUACAAUUUUAGGGUCAGAGGCCGUGCUGCGUACUGCGUGUAUGGAAAAAUGAGGUGUUCGAAGUA